AGAAGUCUACUGAGACUGGCUUCUUUUCACCAACAAAAAGACAAAGCCCUUCAAGGAGAAGUCUUUAGGCCUAAUUGCCUCAUUUUUGCCUGGAACAUGGAUGUGAUUUCUGGAGGCGCACCAGCCACUGCAGGGCCCUGUUCAUAAAGUUAUGGAUGCUCACAUGUGCAAAGUUAAAGGGCCACAUCUGGUGAGGGCUUUCUUGCUGGUGAGGAUUCUCUGAAGAGUAUUGAGGCAGCAGAGGACAUCACAUGACAGAUUUCUUCCGAGUCACCGGUGGGAGCUUCCCAGGGAGAUGCGGCUUUAUUCCCUCAUGGCAGACAGGAGGAGGAUGCUGAGCGGGAGCUGAUGCCACCUGGCAGCAAUGGUGGCACAGACUGCUGGAGAGGCACAGAUUGGAACCCAAGCCUCAUCAGACGGCAGCUGUGACAGCGGCAUAUUUCAAAAAUGUAUUGCAAAUUUCACACAAGGGGUCUUUAAAAAAAUUUGAAAGUCUCCUUGGCUUUCACAGACUUUUAAUUAAGAGAGAACUCCUCUUCUUUGAAAAUCAAAACACUUUUUGCCUAUUUUAUGUAUCUAAAGGUAGAUGGGAACUUACAGCCACAUUUAAAAAAUUUGCAGUUGAUUAUGUGGUUUUCAAAUUUAAUAACCUACUAUGAAUAAUUAACUCAACAAGAAGAAAAGGGCACAUUGGCACCUCACAAUUAAAAGAGUAAGAGUGAAAUUAU
rnacentral:lncRNA from 1 species